rnacentral:rRNA from 1 species
GACAGAGGUCUCAAGCGUUGUUCGGAUUCAUUGGGCGUAAAGGGUGCGUAGGUGGCGCCGUAAGUCGGGUGUGAAAUCUCGGGGCUUAACUCCGAAACUGCAUUCGAUACUGCGGUGCUUGAGGACUGGAGAGGAGACUGGAAUUCAUGGUGUAGCGGUGAAAUGCGUAGAGAUCAUGAGGAAGACCAGUGGCGAAGGCGGGUCUCUGGACAGUUCCUGACACUGAGACACGAAGGCGAGGGGAGCAAACGGG